rnacentral:rRNA from 1 species
UACGGAGGGUGCAAGCGUUGUUCGGAAUUAUUGGGCGUAAAGGGCGCGUAGGCGGUUAUGUAAGUCAGAUGUGAAAUACUUCGGCUCAACUGAAGAACUGCAUUUGAUACUACUUAGCUAGAGUACAGAAGAGGGAAAUGGAAUUCCCGGUGUAGAGGUGAAAUUCGUAGAUAUCGGGAGGAACACCAGUGGCGAAGGCGAUUUCCUGGUCUGAUACUGACGCUGAGGCGCGAAAGCGUGGGGAGCAAACAGG